rnacentral:lncRNA from 1 species
AAUUCGAACUUUUUUAUAAUUUUUUUUUGAAAUUCUUUUUUUUCGAAUUUUUUUUUUUAAAUUUCUUUUUGAUAAACGAAAAUUAUGAUUGAAACUAUUUUUUAAAAAUUUUUAUAUAUUUUUUAAGUAUUUAUUUAUAUAUUUAUUAGAAUCCUAAAUUUCAAUUUCUAAAAACCCUACCCCAUUCCUCAACUCUAAACCCUAAG